rnacentral:rRNA from 1 species
UACGGAAGGGGCAAGCGUUGUUCGGAAUCAUUGGGCGUAAAGGGCGCGUAGGUGGUUCUGUAUGUCUAUCGUGAAAGCAUACAGCUCAACUGUAUUUUGUCGGUAGAAACUGCAGGACUUGAGGCUGGGAGGGGCUGGUGGAAUUCCCUGUGUAGCGGUGAAAUGCGUAGAGAUGGGGGAGAACACUCGUGGCGAAGGCGGCCAGCUAGACCAGUUCUGACACUGAGGCGCGACAGCGUGGGGGGAGCAAACAGG